UACAGAGGUCCCAAGCGUUGUUCGGAUUCACUGGGCGUAAAGGGUGCGUAGGCGGUCGGGUAAGUCUGAUGUGAAAUCUCACAGCUUAACUGUGAAACUGCAUUGGAUACUAUUCGGCUUGAGAGUUGGAGGGGGGACUGGAGUUCUUGGUGUAGCAGUGAAAUGCGUAGAUAUCAAGAGGAACACCAGUGGCGAAGGCGAGUCCCUGGACAACUUCUGACGCUGAGGCACGAAAGCUAGGGGAGCAAACAGG
rnacentral:rRNA from 1 species